UGUAAGCGUAUACCAAAGUUGAUGCAGUUAAAACGCUCGUAGUCGGAAUUUGGCAGUUCCGGAUGUGUGCACGUCGUGUGCGCACUUCGCGGGGAUUGCUUUUGUGGUCUUGCGUAGGAUGAGGCACUUUUAUUAGUGAACGUCCUCACGCAACCACUUUUUACUGUGAGAAAAUCAGAGUGCUCAAAGCAGGCAUUUGCCGUGAAUGUAUUAGCAUGGAAUAAUAGAAUAGGACUUGGUUCUAUUUUGUUGGUUUGUUGGGACUGAGUAAUGAUUAAGAGGGACAGUUGGGGGCAUUUGUAUUUCGGUGCUAGAGGUGAAAUUCUUAGAUUACCGAAAGACAAACUGCUGCGAAAGCGUCUGCCAAGGAUGUUUUCAUUGA
rnacentral:rRNA from 1 species